AAUAAACCUCAUUGUGCUACAGCUCCUUAGGGACUGGACAAAAACGACAUUUCCCUCUAGCCGGUCCUUCGAUAGCAACAAGUUUCGUUUCUGUAUAUAGAUCGUUCUUCAUCCUUACUAUGAAUUCCCCAGUGCAGAGAUUUCUAGGAACCUACCUACCACUUGUUGUAGGGGGCACUUUUGAACUCUUUCCAAGAAAGAUUGACAAAAAUCAAACGUCUGUUUUUUAUUUUCAAGAAGCAUAGUCUCUCUGCUUGUGUCGUAUCUCUGAGGACAUGUACAUGAGUGACUGAAACUGCUCAAUGAAGCCAAUAUUACCAUUGAUAUUAAUAUCACCAGCCCUGAAUUAGAGAAAAUAUUUAUCUGCUGCCUCCAUUUCACCUUUCUCUAGAUAUAUGACUUUUUCCCAGCUCCCUGAUCUGACAAUAGAAAGCUGUUUAAGAAAUAGGACAUUUGUUGUGACUUGAUUUUUCCAAAUUUAACACCCUAGGGGACCUGAAGGUGUGCUUUGAAACUUUAUUCCACUUGGCAGAUCCCCAAAGUUUGGAAGAUUUUGGUAGAAUUUCUUCAUUACUUGAAACAGUUUCAGUGAAAGCAAAAACAAAAACAGAACAAACAAACAAAAAACCCUCAAACAACUGUUAAGAUGCCAGGAUUUAUUAACUGUCUUAAUGGCGAACGAAAUGAUAAGACCUUAUAAUAACCCCUGACAAUUAUACUGACAGGUGUUUGCCAGGUAAAAUAUUGCAGGACCUGUAAGAGGAAAGGAUACAAAUUGGUAUUUUAUACCCUUGGGAGAGCAGUCACCUUCAAUGAGUCUGUUUGGUUUUCAGGCUGUUGCUGGUCUCUGUUCUUGUAAGACUUCUGCUGCAGAACCCAUGCGUGAACCCUCCUAGGGCUCUGGAGAAGAUCCAAUGGGAGACGCAGAAACUCUUUGGAAACCAUGAAGCACUCUGUAAAUGAAAAGGGUAGAUUGAUCAGCCUGUCUGAUGGAUCGUUGGUCAAGUACAUGGUCUUCCUGCAGCUGUCAAGGAUGCAGCCAGUGGUGUAAGUAACUCGCCGUGAGAGAUUAACACACCUAAACUGGUCUACAUCUUGUUCACCAAGACUAGUCCACCGAUCGCAUGCUAAGAUGUCAUGGCAAUGCCCAUUUAUGAUAUGAAUUUCUAAAUAUGAACUUACCUGUAUUUAUCUCUCAGAACCACGUUUGCAGCUCUUCUGUAAAUACAGUUAUUUCCAAAUAAACCUAAUGAAGGGAAACCUUCACAACCUGGGUCAUAAGUGGAAUAUAUAUCUGUUCUAUGGAAAGAGCUUAUGGUCUGCAUCCACCUGCUUCAUGAUAUGAUAAAAGGGGGAAAGAUGGGGCUCGGAGAAAAUCUUCUCUUAACAAAUCUUGGCUUUCAAGUCUCUUAUCUUUUGCAGAAUAAAAUAUUUUAUUUUGGGUGUUGUAGGCAGAACAUUAACUUUUUCCCUUUCUCUGUACAAUCUUGCUGUAACAAAACGAAUCCCCAUAACCUGAACAUGGACUUCUUCAGACAAUGAAGGAGGUCUUAUACAUAGACAGUAGAUUAAUGUAAAUUCCCAGAUGAUGCUUUGCUGUCAAUCUCUGAGUACCAAGAACUGGGGCUCUUUCUGAGUUAUCUCCUCUUCCUUUGACACAGUAAGCAUCAGGAAAGUGCUUACUGGACAGAGGCUUAAAGACAAAUGGGAAAUGCACAGUGCCUCUGUAAGUCCAGAAAUGAAAUAAAAGUUAAAGGAGAAACACAU